UAAGACCAGUCUCUAUACCCAAUGACCUGGAGAGCUCCAAAAUGUCUCGAAUUAAAGUGACGUUGUCACUGAUGAGCCUGCCAGGCACACAGUACAGUGUUGGAAAAAAGUUUGGAAUAUUUUCUUCAGUGUUUCGUGUAACGUGAAUGAUCCUCCAACAAACGUGGCUGAACUGACUCAGGCUGUGAUCCAAUGCUGGCGAGAAAUCCCGGUUGAAACUCUUACCAACCUAGUGACCAGCAUGCCCAGACGUGUACGCGCAUUUUACAAUGCUAGAGGCGGUCACACAAAGUACUGACUGUAUUGUUGUUAUCGUCUUGUUAUGUUUGAUGUUGCUUUCAAAGAUGGUCCACGUAUUUUGUGGCAAUUUAAAAUUACAGCCGUUUAUUUAUUAAAUACGGACUCAUGAUUUUAUACGUUAUUUCUAUGGCUUUUUGUGAAUCAUGAGGUGUCCGCCCUACAAUUUUUUGAGAAACAAAAUAGUUUGAUGUGAAUUUCAAAAACAUAUCACAGAGACCCGGGAACAUUAAAAAGUCUUUGAAUAAUUCUCCAGAAAGCAGCAGACCGCGUUAAACACGAGGCUGGGGUUAAAUUGACAAAUAUUCCAAACUUUUUUCCAACACUGUAGGUCUGGUCAGGGUGGAUGAUGGACGCCAUCACCUCCCUCAGUCUGAGGGUCAGAGCCUUGGAAAGGAUCUUAUAAUCCGUGCACAGCAGGGAGACUGGUCUCCAGUUUUUCAGCUCCUGCAGGUCUCCUUUCUUGGGCAGCAGGGUGAUGACGGCCCUCCUGCAGCUCAGAGGUAGCCUGCCGGUCCUCACACUUUAUGUCAUGACCUCUAGCAGGUCUGGUCCUAUGAUGGACCAGAAGGACUUGUAAAAGUCAGCAGGAAGGCUGUCUAUGCCUGGAGCUCUGCCGCUCUGCAGGCUCAUGGUGGCUGCAUGGAGCUCUUGCACCGUCACCUCUGCUGCCAGUCUGCUAUUUUCAGCCUCACUGACCUGAGGGAGACCCGCCAGGAAGUUGCUGUGCACUUCUGGAUUAUGCGACCACUCACUCUUAAAGAGGUUUCUGUAGUAGUUGGCAGCAAACUUCCUGAUCUCAGACGAG